UUAUCUGUGACCGAAUGCCUGGAAACACGCGUUGUUGUGUCUGCUGCCGUUACACGAGGGCUGUCAGCACGGAGCCUGCGAGUGCUGGGCAGGCAGCAGGGAAGCCAGAGCGGUGCAGGGCUCAACCCAGAGGUUAUCCAAGUCAUCAGGAAGCAUCACGUUGGCUCCUGCAGCCUUCGGCAAAGACACAGCUCCUUUCACUGUAACCACAUCUGAGCCCGUGCAACAGGCAUUACUUAAUAACCCCGAGUAGAGAAACAGAAGAAAUUUUCUUUGAAACUCUCGGUCUCCUUUAUGCUGGCGCAGCAAUUUGGAUGAUGUGACUGGCUGAAGACUCUCUUCUUCACAAGAAAGUGAUUGCAGUUAUUAUUCGUAGAUUUUUCAAGGCUGGAUCCAGCUUUCUUUGUGUCACAAACCCUUAAGCUGAUCCGUGUCGCCCACCACUAGCAUUAAAGGUGAGGCUUUCUGACAUUGGGAAGAUAUUCAUUAGGAGGGUGAAAUCAGAGCAGAAGUUGCACAGCGCCUUGGGCAGUGCCUGGGAGCCCCUCUCCAGUUCCAGCGUUUCUUCUGUUUCUUCUCAAUGUGACGAAACCUGAGCAUGAAUGGGAAGAGUUCACUCGUAAUGCGGCCAGCCCCUGCGGUGCCGAGCUGAGAAAGUCUGUGGUUGUUAUUUCCUCCUGCGGGGUGUUUGUGGAUGACCAUCGCUGUCCCGAGAGCACCAGCCUGCGCAGCAGACAGCACGGUGCGGCCAGGCAGACGGUGGGCAGUGUCUGGGCAAACGUGGUGGUGUGUCCUGCUCAUGGCCAUGCCCAGCUUUGCCUAUUUGAUGUGCUGUCCCUACAUGAACAUUUCCUUAAUGGCCCUUUACCUCUGGAGCUGCAGCGGGCCAUGGAGCGAGCUGUGAUGCCAGGGCCACCCUCUGCACCCCAACCAGCAGUGGGUGCAGAAGCAGAUGCUGGAGGGGCAAAGCUGUGACAGCAAUCCCUGUCAUCCUGGAGGAGCAGAGAGGUGGUCCCGACCCACACCCAGUGCUGCUGAGUGCACCCCGAGGGGAGCAGCGUGGCCAGGAUGGGGGACAAGGCUGGGUGCUGGGGCAGCCCUGUGCUCACAUCUGGUUCCUCGGUGGCACAGCCCGGCCUUUGAAGCUGCUGAAGCUGGUCCCACCCAGGGGAAUGGCUGAGGAUGGGAUUUGUUCUUUUUCAAAGGCUUUGUUCCCCUGACAGCUGAGCUGGAGUCCAACCUGACUGUCCGCUGAAUCCAGCCC
rnacentral:lncRNA from 1 species